rnacentral:rRNA from 1 species
CACGUAGGCGGACUAUUAAGCCAGGGGUGAAAUCCCGGGGCUCAACCCCGGAACUGCCUUUGAUACUGGUAGUCUCGAGUCCGGAAGAGGUGAGUGGAAUUCCGAGUGUAGAGGUGAAAUUCGUAGAUAUUCGGAGGAACACCAGUGGCGAAGGCGGCUCACUGGUCCGGUACUGACGCUGAGGUGCGAAAGCGUGGGGAGCAAACA